GGAGGGAUCAUUACCGAGUUUACAACUCCCAAACCCCUGUGAACAUACCUUAAUGUUGCCUCGGCGGAUCAGCCCGCGCCCCGUAAAACGGGACGGCCCGCCAGAGGACCCAAACUCUAAUGUUUCUUAUUGUAACUUCUGAGUAAAACAAACAAAUAAAUCAAAACUUUCAACAACGGAUCUCUUGGUUCUGGCAUCGAUGAAGAACGCAGCAAAAUGCGAUAAGUAAUGUGAAUUGCAGAAUUCAGUGAAUCAUCGAAUCUUUGAACGCACAUUGCGCCCGCUGGUAUUCCGGCGGGCAUGCCUGUUCGAGCGUCAUUUCAACCCUCAAGCCCCCGGGUUUGGUGUUGGGGAUCGGCUCUGCCCUUCUGGGCGGUGCCGCCCCCGAAAUACAUUGGCGGUCUCGCUGCAGCCUCCAUUGCGUAGUAGCUAACACCUCGCAACUGGAACGCGGCGCGGCCAUGCCGUAAAACCCCAACUUCUGAAUGUUGACCUCGGAUCAGGUAGGAAUACCCGCUGAACUUAAGCAUAUCAAUAAGCGGAGGAAAAGAAACCAACAGGGAUUGCCCUAGUAACGGCGAGUGAAGCGGCAACAGCUCAAAUUUGAAAUCUGGCUUUCGGGCCCGAGUUGUAAUUUGUAGAGGAUACUUUUGAUGCGGUGCCUUCCGAGUUCCCUGGAACGGGACGCCAUAGAGGGUGAGAGCCCCGUCUGGUUGGAUGCCAAAUCUCUGUAAAGUUCCUUCGACGAGUCGAGUAGUUUGGGAAUGCUGCUCUAAAUGGGA
rnacentral:rRNA from 1 species